AGAGUUUGAUCCUGGCUCAGGAUGAACGCUAGCUACAGGCUUAACACAUGCAAGUCGAGGGGCAGCAUGGUCUUAGCUUGCUAAGGCCGAUGGCGACCGGCGCACGGGUGAGUAACGCGUAUCCAACCUGCCUUACACUCUUGGACAGCCUUCUGAAAGGGAGAUUAAUACAAGAUGUUAUCAUGAGUAAGCAUUUUCGCAUGAUUAAAGGUUUACCGGUGUAAGAUGGGGAUGCGUUCCAUUAGAUAGUAGGCGGGGUAACGGCCCACCUAGUCUUCGAUGGAUAGGGGUUCUGAGAGGAAGGUCCCCCACAUUGGAACUGAGACACGGUCCAAACUCCUACGGGAGGCAGCAGUGAGGAAUAUUGGUCAAUGGACGAGAGUCUGAACCAGCCAAGUAGCGUGAAGGAUGAAGGUUCUAUGGAUUGUAAACUUCUUUUAUACGGGAAUAAACGGAUCCACGUGUGGAUUUUUGCAUGUACCGUAUGAAUAAGGAUCGGCUAACUCCGUGCCAGCAGCCGCGGUAAUACGGAGGAUCCGAGCGUUAUCCGGAUUUAUUGGGUUUAAAGGGAGCGUAGAUGGAUGUUUAAGUCAGUUGUGAAAGUUUGCGGCUCAACCGUAAAAUUGCAGUUGAUACUGGAUAUCUUGAGUGCAGUUGAGGCAGGCGGAAUUCGUGGUGUAGCGGUGAAAUGCUUAGAUAUCACGAAGAACUCCGAUUGCGAAGGCAGCCUGCUAAGCUGCAACUGACAUUGAGGCUCGAAAGUGUGGGUAUCAAACAGGAUUAGAUACCCUGGUAGUCCACACGGUAAACGAUGAAUACUCGCUGUUUGCGAUAUACUGCAAGCGGCCAAGCGAAAGCGUUAAGUAUUCCACCUGGGGAGUACGCCGGCAACGGUGAAACUCAAAGGAAUUGACGGGGGCCCGCACAAGCGGAGGAACAUGUGGUUUAAUUCGAUGAUACGCGAGGAACCUUACCCGGGCUUAAAUUGCAGAUGAAUUACGGUGAAAGCCGUAAGCCGCAAGGCAUCUGUGAAGGUGCUGCAUGGUUGUCGUCAGCUCGUGCCGUGAGGUGUCGGCUUAAGUGCCAUAACGAGCGCAACCCUUGUUGUCAGUUACUAACAGGUUCCGCUGAGGACUCUAACAAGACUGCCAUCGUAAGAUGUGAGGAAGGUGGGGAUGACGUCAAAUCAGCACGGCCCUUACGUCCGGGGCUACACACGUGUUACAAUGGGGGGUACAGAGGGCCGCUACCACGCGAGUGGAUGCCAAUCCCCAAAACCUCUCUCAGUUCGGACUGGAGUCUGCAACCCGACUCCACGAAGCUGGAUUCGCUAGUAAUCGCGCAUCAGCCACGGCGCGGUGAAUACGUUCCCGGGCCUUGUACACACCGCCCGUCA
rnacentral:rRNA from 1 species